rnacentral:lncRNA from 1 species
CUCGCUCUGCAGCUCCUUCACAAGCUCCUGGAAAUGGGAAAGCGCCCCGGGGCUGAAUGAAGCUCUUUGACGUCACGAGUGCCCAUUAAGGGUUUAUGGGCCGAGAAGCGGAGCAAAGGGUGCCUCGAGGAGGGCUGGCAGCAGCCCCGUGUUCCGGUGUCUCCUCCUGUCCCGCUGCUGCGGGUGUCCCACGGUGCACGCAGGACGUGGGAGGUGCCCGGGGCCGCCUCUCUGCAGAACCUUAAAGCCCGGCGCGGCGCCGGGCGGGCAGGGUGCUGGCAGCAUGCAGGCGGGUGGUUGGCUCCUGCUGGGGCUGCUGGCCCUCGGUGCACCGCUGCACGCAGCGCCCGCUGCAGGACGGUGUAGCCCAGGGCUGCACGGAGCAGCAACCAUCCUCCCUGUGACCCAACCGCAGGCGGUGGUGCCAGCAGAUGCCCGGUGCCGGCAGCGGAACGGCACCCAGAGCCCAUCUGUGCAGCAGCAGCUGGGGGCAGAGCGGGGCGGUGCGGAGCAGCACCUGCAUGGGGAGCGGCCGGCGGUGAGACCUGUGCCCGAGAAUGGAGCGGGGAGCAGGGAGAAGCCUCCAGCGGGCAGCACGCCUGCACUGAGGGAAAAGCAGGAGAUCGCAAAGAAACCCAGCGUGGGGAAGAAGCCAGAGUGUGAGGGGAAGGAUGGGAAUGGGGAAAAGCCAAAGAUAACGCCAGGAGCAAUGGCAAAACCAGAGGGUGGGGGGAAAGUGGAGAGUGGAGGGAAAACUGAGAGUGGGAAAAAGCCAGGGACUGGGGGGAAGCCAACGGGUGGAGAGAAACCCGUGCUGGGGAAAAAGCCAGAGGUGGGGGGAAAGCCGGAGGCUGGGGGGAAACAGGAGAGUGGGGAGAAGCUCAAGUUGGGAGAGAAACUAAAGCCCGAGCAUGGAGAUGGUGAGGUGGGUGAUGACAUUGAUGACGAUGAUGACGAUGACAGUGAUGACGAUGGUGAUGAGAAAAAAGGGUAUGAGGAUGAUAUGGCUGAUGACCAUGAUUAUUACUAUGGCUACAAUGACGACGAGGGCUAUGAUGAUGACGAUAAUGGUGACGGUAACAAUGGCAGUGAUGACAACGGUGGAAAUGGGAAUGACUAUGGAGAUGCCGAUGGAUACGGUGACGGUGAUGACUGAAGAUUACAGUGGUGGAGAUGGCAGCGAUGCUGGCGCGAUGAUGCUUGGUGACCAGCACUGUGGGGCGUGUGCAGGGCACAAGGUGCAAUGACAGCCCAUGGCAGGUGGGCACACGGAGCUGCCCCCAGCCUCCCCUCGCCUCACUCUGCCAGGGCCAGUCCUGGACACCAGCGCUGUUUUGGGCAGGACCUUCUAUUUCCUAAUAAAUCCCACAGUGGGCCACUUGCUCAACACAACAAGCUGUCCCUUGUCACAGUGCCUGGCAUCUCCAAGCCAUCUGGGAGCUUGCAUGGAUGUACCGUUCCCAGCUUCUUCCACAGACCCAGAGAUGCCCCUGACACGUCAUAGCCUGGAGGAGCAGCCUGGCGUGAGGCUGCAGGCAGGAUGUGUGUGCUGACCCCAGGACCAACUGUCUGCCAUGGCACUUCCCUCCCACGGGGAUUGGGGGUCCAACAAGGGUUCAGCAGGAGACUGACACCACGGGAACCAGCAGAGCUCAUUGCAGAUGGGAUUUAAUAGCAAGGAAGAAGCACAGAGACCCCCGUGCCCAGUUCUGAGCUGAGCGCUGAGGAGUGGAUUUGGGAUGGGGGAUGAUGGGUUCUCGCUCUGCAGUCGAUGGAUGAGUCCAUGUCCGGCUGCCC